rnacentral:rRNA from 1 species
UACGUAGGGUGCAGGCGUUAAUCGGAAUUACUGGGCGUAAAGCGUGCGCAAGCGGUUUGCUAAGACAGGUGUGAAAUCCCCGGGCUUAACCUGGGAACUGCGCUUGUAACUGGCAAGCUGGAGUGUGGCAGAGGGGGGUGGAAUUCCGCGUGUAGCAGUGAAAUGCGUAGAGAUGCGGAGGAACACCGAUGGCGAAGGCAGCCCCCUGGGCUAACACUGACACUCAUGCACGAAAGCGUGGGGAGCAAACAGG